rnacentral:rRNA from 1 species
UGGGGAAUUUUGGACAAUGGGGGAAACCCUGAUCCAGCCAUCCCGCGUGUGCGAUGAAGGCCUUCGGGUUGUAAAGCACUUUUGGCAGGAAAGAAACGUCAUGGGUUAAUACCCCGUGAAACUGACGGUACCUGCAGAAUAAGCACCGGCUAACUACGUGCCAGCAGCCGCGGUAAUACGUAGGGUGCAAGCGUUAAUCGGAAUUACUGGGCGUAAAGCGUGCGCAGGCGGUUCGGAAAGAAAGAUGUGAAAUCCCAGAGCUCAACUUUGGAACUGCAUUUUUAACUACCGAGCUAGAGUGUGUCAGAGGGAGAAGGAAUUCCGCGUGUAGCAGUGAAAUGCGUAGAUAUGCGGAGGAACACCGAUGGCGAAGGCAGCCUCCUGGGAUAACACUGACGCUCAUGCACGAAAGCGUGGGGAGCAAACAGG